GACCUCAAAUCAGGUAAGAAUACCCGCUGAACUUAAGCAUAUCAAUAAGCGGAGGAAAAGAAAAUAACAAUGAUUCCCUCAGUAACGGCGAGCGAAGAGGGAUAAGCUCAAAUUUUAAAUCUGUUGGGUUUCACCUAACAGAGUUGUAUUUUGAAGAAACGUUUUCUGCGUUCUGGAUUGACCUAAAUCCUUUGGGAUAAGGUAUCAUGGAGGGUGAGAAUCCCGUUCAUGGUUAAUCUUAAGGAUGCUCUACGAUACGUUCUCCAAGAGUCGAGUUGUUUGGGAUUGCAGCUCAAAAUGGGAGGUAAAUUUCUCCUAAGGCUAAAUAUUGGCGAGAGACCGAUAGCGAACAAGUACCGUGAGGGAAAGAUGAAAAGAACUUUGAAAAGAGAGUUAAACAGUACGUGAAAUUGUUGAAAGGGAAACGAUUGAAGUCAGUCAUACCAACGGGAAAUCAACCUCUUGAGUUUGGUCUCGUGGGUUUUGAAGAGUUUUAAAAGCCUUCGGAUUUUCGAGAUUGGGUUCUUCUGGUGUACUUUCUCGUACGGUUAGUCAACAUCGGUUUUGAAUGUCAUAAAAUGACUGGAGGAAUGUGGCUUCGAUCUCGUAUUGAAGUGUUAUAGCCUUUGGUAGAUGUGAUGUUCGAGACCGAGGAUUGCAACGGAUACCCUUCUGGGCUAUUCGUCUGAUCUCUGAAACGUUGCCUUGAUGUCGAAAGCUUGCUUAUGAUGUUAGGGUAUUACGGUCAAAAGGUUAGAACGGAUUAAAUUCGUUAAGGAUGUUGACGUAAUGACUUUAAACGACCCGUCUUGAAACACGGACCAAGGAGUCUAACAUAUAUGCGAGUGUUUGGGUGAAUAAACCCUUGCGCGUAAUGAAAGUGAUUUUGGUGAGAUCCGGAUUAAUUUUUUUUUUCGGAGCAUCAUCGACCGAUCAGGAUAUUU
rnacentral:rRNA from 1 species